GUAAAACUGGCAACUGUGGGAAACACGAAAGGCAAAACGUCAAACGCAAAAUAACAACAAAAAAUCUUGAUCUCUUCGUGAUGCUGAAUUCGAUCAAUUUGUGAUUAUUAUUAUUCUGAUCGGUGCCUUGACCGCUGGCAAAUUUGGGUGGAACGGUUGAUUGUUAUCCUGUGUGCUAUACCUUCGCAGUAGAUCGCGGAAGACGGGUGAAAAAUAGGUAGCGCUACUGAUAAAAAAGAAUCUUGUUACCGGAUCGUCUUGAGGCUUCGAAGGAACAACGGACACCAAAACGCUGAGCGCCUUCGGUAUGGAAUAGAACGGGACAAUUGGCCAAUUCCAAUGAUGUAAUGAAGCCCCUUCGUUAUUUCGAAUAUCAGUAAGGCGAUCAUAAUUAGACAUCAGUGAUCUGAACGGAUUUAUUCUUCUUUGAACAUUGUGUGAAAGUUUGAAUCCGUCGCAACAGCAUGAUGAAGGAACAUUCCGCAUUCCACGAAGCAAAUGGUGAUAAAAACAGGAAUACAGUGGCUGUGGCUAGAAAACUGAUCUAUCAAACCGAGUGUCGACGAAAACUUCCUAUUAAUGAAGAUGUCAAUGGAGAAUUAAAAGCAAAAGCGAAUAACAUCCCAUGGAGUCUGAACCGCCCCGAGCAGAUCAAGCGAAAUAAAUGUAAAUUCAAUAUAAAUAUUAUCACCGAAGAAUAGAUUUGUGUUCUUCAAGUUGCAUUAUCUGUCUCGAUUUGCCAUAUGUGAACGAAAGACAUGAAAUAAAUAAAUGUAAUAAAUUCCGUGAUAUUAUUUUCUUAA